rnacentral:rRNA from 2 species
CUGAUUGAUGGUGCUUGCACCUGAUUGACGUUGGAUCACCAGUGAGUGGCGGACGGGUGAGUAACACGUAGGUAACCUGCCCCGGAGCGGGGGAUAACAUUUGGAAACAGAUGCUAAUACCGCAUAACAACAAAAGCCACAUGGCUUUUGUUUGAAAGAUGGCUUUGGCUAUCACUCUGGGAUGGACCUGCGGUGCAUUAGCUAGUUGGUAAGGUAACGGCUUACCAAGGCGAUGAUGCAUAGCCGAGUUGAGAGACUGAUCGGCCACAAUGGAACUGAGACACGGUCCAUACUCCUACGGGAGGCAGCAGUAGGGAAUCUUCCACAAUGGGCGCAAGCCUGAUGGAGCAACACCGCGUGAGUGAAGAAGGGUUUCGGCUCGUAAAGCUCUGUUGUUGGAGAAGAACGUGCGUGAGAGUAACUGUUCACGCAGUGACGGUAUCCAACCAGAAAGUCACGGCUAACUACGUGCCAGCAGCCGCGGUAAUACGUAGGUGGCAAGCGUUAUCCGGAUUUAUUGGGCGUAAAGCGAGCGCAGGCGGUUGCUUAGGUCUGAUGUGAAAGCCUUCGGCUUAACCGAAGAAGUGCAUCGGAAACCGGGCGACUUGAGUGCAGAAGAGGACAGUGGAACUCCAUGUGUAGCGGUGGAAUGCGUAGAU